rnacentral:rRNA from 1 species
AUUGAACGCUGGCGGCAGGCCUAACACAUGCAAGUCGAACGGUAACAGGAAGAAGCUUGCUUCUUUGCUGACGAGUGGCGGACGGGUGAGUAAUGUCUGGGAAACUGCCUGAUGGGGGGGGAUAACUACUGGAAACGGUAGCUAAUACCGCAUAACGUCGCAAGACCAAAGAGGGGGACCUUCGGGCCUCUUGCCAUCGGAUGUGCCCAGAUGGGAUUAGCUAGUAGGUGGGGUAACGGCUCACCUAGGCGACGAUCCCUAGCUGGUCUGAGAGGAUGACCAGCCACACUGGAACUGAGACACGGUCCAGACUCCUACGGGAGGCAGCAGUGGGGAAUAUUGCACAAUGGGCGCAAGCCUGAUGCAGCCAUGCCGCGUGUAUGAAGAAGGCCUUCGGGUUGUAAGGUACUUUCAGCGGGGAGGAAGGGAGUAAAGUUAAUACCUUUGCUCAUUGACGUUACCCGCAGAAGAAGCACCGGCUAACUCCGUG